rnacentral:piRNA from 1 species
CAGAUUUCUUUGUUCCUUCUCCA